rnacentral:rRNA from 1 species
GAGUUUGAUCUUGGCUCAGAUUGAACGCUGGCGGCAUGCUUUACACAUGCAAGUCGAGCGGCAGCGCGGGGGCAACCCUGGCGGCGAGCGGCGAACGGGUGAGGAAUACAUCGGAACGUGCCCGAGAGUGGGGGAUAACGCCGCGAAAGCGGCGCUAAUACCGCAUAUUCUCUGAGGAGGAAAGUGGGGGACCUGCAAGGGCCUCACGCUCACGGAGCGGCCGAUGUCGGAUUAGCUAGUUGGUGGGGUAAAGGCUUACCAAGGCGACGAUCCGUAGCUGGUCUGAGAGGAUGAUCAGCCACACUGGGACUGAGACACGGCCCAGACUCCUACGGGAGCAGCAGUGGGAA